rnacentral:rRNA from 1 species
CACGUAGGGCGCAAGCGUUGUCCGGAUUUAUUGGGCGUAAAGAGCGUGUAGGCGGCUCGGUAAGUCCGCUCUGAAAGCCGGGGCUCAACCCCGGGAGGCGGGCGGAUACUGUCCGGGCUAGAGUCCGGAAGAGGCGAGUGGAAUUCCUGGUGUAGCGGUGAAAUUCGUAGAUAUUCGGAAGAACACCAGUGGCGAAGGCGGCUCACUGGACGACUGUUGACGCUGAGGUGCGAAAGGCGUGGGGAGCAAACAGG